rnacentral:rRNA from 1 species
CCUACGGGAGGCAGCAGUGGGGAAUAUUGGGCAAUGGGCGCAAGCCUGACCCAGCAACGCCGCGUGAAGGAAGAAGGCUUUCGGGUUGUAAACUUCUUUUCUGGGGGACGAACAAAUGACGGUACUCCAGGAAUAAGCCACGGCUAACUACGUGCCAGCAGCCGCGGUAAUACGUAGGUGGCAAGCGUUAUCCGGAUUUAUUGGGUGUAAAGGGCGUGUAGGCGGGAAUGCAAGUCAGAUGUGAAAACUAUGGGCUCAACCCAUAGCCUGCAUUUGAAACUGUAUUUCUUGAGUGCUGGAGAGGCAAUCGGAAUUACGUGAGUAGCGGUGAAAUGCGUAGAUAUACGGAGGAACACCAGUGGCGAAGGCGGAUUGCUGGACAGUAACUGACGCUGAGGCGCGAAAGCGUGGGGAGCAAACAGGAUUAGAUACCCCUGUAGUC